rnacentral:rRNA from 1 species
GAUGAACGCUAGCGGCAGGCUUAACACAUGCAAGUCGAGGGGUAACAGGAGUGCUUGCACUCGCUGACGACCGGCGCACGGGUGCGUAACGCGUAUACAAUCUGCCUUACACUGAGGGAUAGCCUUUGGAAACGAAGAUUAAUACCUCAUAGUAUGAUGACUUGGCAUCAAGAUAUCAUUAAAGGUUACGGUGUAAGAUGAGUAUGCGUCCUAUUAGCUUGUUGGUAAGGUAACGGCUUACCAAGGCAACGAUAGGUAGGGGUCCUGAGAGGGAGAUCCCCCACACUGGUACUGAGACACGGACCAG